UCUGUGCUAAGGUAGCAUAAUAAUUUGCUUUUUAAUUUUAAGAUAGUAUGAAAGGAUGAACGACUUAAUAAUUUUUUCACUUUCAAAUAAUAAACUUAAUUAAUAUGUAAAAAAGCAUAUAUAAAAAAGAAAGACGACAAGACCCUAUAGAACUUAAACUAUAAAGUUUUGCUGGGGCAGCAAUAAAUAAUAAUUUUACAUUAUACUAUUCCCCAUAAAGACCUAAUAAAUUUUAAAAUACAAAACAAGUUACCUUAGGGAUAACAGCGCAAUAUUACUUAAAAGAACUUAUUACAAGUAAAGAUUUCGACCUCGAUGUUGAAUUAAUUUAACUCCAUUAAGUAAAAAUAAUAAGAGUAAGUCCGUUCGACUUUUAAAAAAUUACAUGAUUUGAGUUCAGACCGGCGUAAGCCAGGUCAGAUUCUAUCUUCUUCAAAUCAAUUACAGUACGAAAGGACCUAAUUAUAAAUAUAA
rnacentral:rRNA from 1 species